AACGAACGCUGGCGGCAUGCCUAACACAUGCAAGUCGAACGAGACCUUCGGGUCUAGUUGCGCACGGGUGCGUAACGCGUGGGAACCUGCCCUUAGGUUCGGAAUAACUCCCCGAAAGGGGUGCUAAUACCGGAUAAUGUCUUCGGACCAAAGAUUUAUCGCCUUUGGGUGGGCCCGCGUUGGAUUAGCUAGUUGGUAGGGUAAAAGCCUACCAAGGCGACGAUCCAUAGCUGGUCUGAGAGGAUGAUCAGCCACACUGGGACUGAGACACGGCCCAGACUCUUACAGGAGGCAGCAGUGGGGAAUAUUGGACUAUGGGCUAAAGGCUGAUCCAGCAAUGGCGCGUGAGUGAUGAAGGCCUUAGGGUUGUAAAGCUCUUUUACACGGGAUGAUAAUGACAGUACCGGGAGAAUAAGCACCGGCUAACUCCGUG
rnacentral:rRNA from 1 species